rnacentral:rRNA from 1 species
UACGUAGGGGGCAAGCGUUGUCCGGAUUUAUUGGGCGUAAAGAGCGUGUAGGCGGCCUGAAAGGUCAGCUGUGAAAACUCGAGGCUCAACCUCGAGACGUCGGUUGAAACCAUCUGGCUAGAGUCCGGAAGAGGAGAGUGGAAUUCCCGGUGUAGCGGUGAAAUGCGUAGAGAUCGGGAGGAAGGCCGGUGGCGAAGGCGGCGCUCUGGAACAUUUCUGACGCUGAGGCUCGAAAGCGUGGGGAGCAAACAGG